AUCAACUUUCGAUGGUAGGAUAGAGGCCUAUCAUGGUGGUAACGGGUAACGGGGUGUUAGGGCACGACACCGGAGAGGGAGCCUGAGAAACGGCUACCACAUCCAAGGAUGGCAGCAGGCGCGCAAAUUACCCAAUCCCGACACGGGGAGGUAGUGACAAUAAAUAACAAUACGGGGUUCUUUAGGAUCUCGUAAUUGGAAUGAGUACAAUUUAAAUCUCUUAACGAGGAACAAUUGGAGGGCAAGUCUGGUGCCAGCAGCCGCGGUAAUUCCAGCUCCAAUAGCGUAUAUUAAAGUUGUUGCAGUUAAAAAGCUCGUAGUUGAAUUUCGGGGUUAGUAGGUUGGUCAUGCCUCUGGUAUGUACUGGUCUCACUGAUUCCUCCUUCCUGAUGAACCUUAAUGCCAUUAAUUUGGUGUUUUGGGGAAUUUGGACUGUUACUUUGAAAAAAUUAGAGUGUUUAAAGCAAGCUAACGCUUGAAUACAUAGCAUGGAAUAAUGAAAUAGGACGUUCGAUCCUAUUUUGUUGGUUUCUAGGAUUGACGUAAUGAUUAAUAGGGAUAGUUGGGGGCAUUAGUAUUCAAUUGUCAGAGGUGAAAUUCUUGGAUUUAUUGAAGACUAACUACUGCGAAAGCAUUUGCCAAGAAUGUUUUCAUUAGUCAAGAACGAAAGUUAGGGGAUCGAAGACGAUCAGAUACCGUCGUAGUCUUAACCAUAAACUAUGCCGACUAGGGAUCGGAUGAUGUUAAUUUUUUAAUGACUCAUUCGGCGCCUUACGGGAAACCAAAGUGUUUGGGUUC
rnacentral:rRNA from 1 species